AUUGAACGCUGGCGGAAUGCUUUACACAUGCAAGUCGAACGGCAGCACGGACUUCGGUCUGGUGGCGAGUGGCGAACGGGUGAGUAAUGUAGCGGAACGUGCCCAGUCGUGGGGGAUAACGUAGUGAAAAUUACGCUAAUACCGCAUACGAGCUAUGGAUGAAAGCGGGGGAUCGCAAGACCUCGCGCGAUUGGAGCGGCCGAUAUCAGAUUAGGUAGUUGGUGGGGUAAAGGCCCACCAAGCCAACGAUCUGUAGCUGGUCUGAGAGGACGACCAGCCACACUGGAACUGAGACACGGUCCAGACUCCUACGGGAGGCAGCAGUGGGGAAUUUUGGACAAUGGGCGAAAGCCUGAUCCAGCCAUUCCGCGUGCAGGAUGAAGGCCCUCGGGUUGUAAACUGCUUUUGUACAGAACGAAAAGGUUUCAACUAAUACUAGGAGCUCAUGACGGUACUGUAAGAAUAAGCACCGGCUAACUACGUGCCAGCCGCCGCCGUAA
rnacentral:rRNA from 1 species